GAUUGAUGGCACAUUAUUCUAGUCAAUUGAUUCGUUAGGAAGACGGGGAUAAAAGACCUUUAAAGAGCAUAUCUAUGAGGCCAUUGGUGUUUGCUUUAGAUGCCCAAUCUAGGGUGGAUGCUGAUGAUGAGAGUAAUGGAUAGAAUGUAAUGGCAUAUAUUUAAUUCCAUUAUUCGUGGAGACCUAUCUUUGUAGUAAAUCUAUACGGAAACUGAUGAUUUAUUAUGAACUAGGAUUAAACCUGCUAUGUGGUGAUGAGCUAUGAGCAGUGUAGCUUGUCUUGAGUGAAGGCUUUGGGAUUAACUAAGGUAUUAUGAUAAUCGGCCAAUUAUGAUAAUAUUCGUGUUAUGAAAUUACCUUUGCAAAAGAGAACUAAUAACGAUGCGUUGGUGAGGAAAUCUCCUAGAGUGCAGGAUAUGGGAUUGCAGUGGGAACUAAGUGGCAAUCAAGUCGUAUGAUGUGGAAACACCAUGCUGUCUUUUUUAAAGGGGAACCGCAAUACUGGUAACGGUAUGUAGAAGAUAGGGAAAUCCUACUUGACCUAAGUCUCAAAGUUAAUCAUAUCUAAUA
rnacentral:sRNA from 1 species